AUGGGAACGCGAAGAACCUUACCUAGACUUGACAUCUCCUGAAUAGUGUAGAGAUACAUGAAGCCCUUCGGGGCAGGAAGACAGGUGGUGCAUGGUUGUCGUCAGCUCGUGUCGUGAGAUGUUGGGUUAAGUCCCGCAACGAGCGCAACCCUUAUUACUAGUUGCUACCAUUAAGUUGAGCACUCUAGUGAGACUGCCCGGGGUUAACCGGGAGGAAGGCGGGGAUGACGUCAAAUCAUCAUGCCCCUUAUGUCUAGGGCAGCACACGUGCUACAAUGGUGGGAACAAAGAGAUGCAAUACCGCAAGGUGGAGCUAAACUCAAAACCCCAUCCCAGUUCGGAUUGUAGGCUGCAACUCGCCUACAUGAAGUUGGAGUUGCUAGUAAUCGCGAAUCAGAAUGUCGCGGUGAAUACGUUCCCGGGUCUUGUACACACCG
rnacentral:rRNA from 1 species